GACGAACGCUGGCGGCGUGCUUAACACAUGCAAGUCGAACGGAAAGGCCCUGCUUUUGUGGGGUGCUCGAGUGGCGAACGGGUGAGUAACACGUGAGUAACCUGCCCUUGACUUUGGGAUAACUUCAGGAAACUGGGGCUAAUACCGGAUAGGAGCUCCUGCUGCAUGGUGGGGGUUGGAAAGUUUCGGCGGUUGGGGAUGGACUCGCGGCUUAUCAGCUUGUUGGUGGGGUAGUGGCUUACCAAGGCUUUGACGGGUAGCCGGCCUGAGAGGGGGACCGGACACAUUAGGACUGAGAUACGGCCCAGACUCCUACGGGAGGCAGCAGUGGGGAAGAUUGCACAAUGGGCGGAGGCCUGAUGCAGCAACGCCGCGUGCGGGAUGACGGCCUGCGGGUUGUAAACCGCUUUCGCCUGUGACGAAGCGUGAGUGACGGUAAUGGGUAAAGAAGCACCGGCUAACUACGUG
rnacentral:rRNA from 1 species